GGACAUCCUUGUAAGCAGAGAUGAAGAGUCCUCAGCUUUCUGCCUUCUCCAUGACUGGCUUACCACAGAGAAAGAAGUGAAGGGUAAGAGCCCACUGAGAUGGAAGGCGCCCAAGAGCCGUGAGGCAGUGAGCGUUGUUGAUUCCAGGCUAUGCAGAUGCCAUGAAGCUGGGAGUGGAGCAGAUGUCACCAUCAGUGAGAUAUGUGUCUGGUUUCGUGAGGACUCUUGUAACGGUCCACCUGUCUCCAGGCCAGGACUUGUCGUUAGCUGGGGCUGAGUUUGUAGGAAAAGGUUCCUGAAUAGCUGUAGUUACGAGGGAGACAAGGUCCCCAUUUUCAGGGGCUGGUCAUUUCUCUGUCCACAAGCAGUGUGUUCUCUGCAGCAGAAGGUUGGAUCCAGGGGGAUGACUCCAGCUGAGGAAUCAUCCAGGAGCAGCAGCCGGAGGAGAAAUUGGCAGAAGUAGACCUGAGCCGCCUGGAAAUCCUCUUAAAUGGAGAUCAACAGUCCUCAGCUUUCUGCCUCCCACAUAACUGCCUUACCAAGGGAAAAGAAGUCACGUGUCAGAGUCUACUGCCUUCAUGUCAUGGAAAGCGAGCGAGAGCGAUGGGACCUCAAGAACUACUGAUGCCAAGGAAAAGCCGUCCUACUGGGAAUGGAACAGUCGCCACUCUCAAUGAGAUAACUGUCUGUUUUGGUGAUUGCUCUGCUCACGGCCCACCUUGCUCCUGGUAGGGAUGCUCCAUUUGCUGGGGCUGUGUUUGUAAAAGUGUUUUUGACUAGCUGUGUUUGAGAGAGACAUAAACUCUCUGCUACUCAGGGGCUGCUCAGUUCUCUGGCCAGUAGCGGUGUGUCCUCUGCAUCAGAAGGUGAGAUCCAGGGGGAUGACUCCAGGUGACAAGUUGCUUGCCUUCCUCCCAUGUUUCUCUCUCGGUCUGUCUCUUCUCUAGUAUGUUGGCCAACACUCUUUCUGUCUCUGUCUCUGUCUCUGUCUCUGUCCUUGCCUCUCCUUAUCCCGUCUCUCUUCAUAGCACACGGGCAGGCGUGCUAGGUGUGCAUCCCCACAGGCUAGGUCUCGGGAGCUAUGAACAAGUAGGAGGGGAUGAAAAUCAUGCAGGGC